AGCACGAUUGUGAGGUUUACAGGCUCAGCUUGGGGCUGGGCAGUAUCAGCCCCGCUUGGGGCUGCUGCAGGCUCAGCCCCGCUUGGGCUGC